CCUACGGGCGGCAGCAGUGGGGAAUAUUGGACAAUGGGCGAAAGCCUGAUCCAGCCAUGCCGCGUGUGUGAAGAAGGCCUUCGGGUUGUAAAGCACUUUCAGUGGGGAAGAAAGCCUUGGGGCUAAUACCCUCGAGGAAGGACAUCACCCACAGAAGAAGCACCGGCUAACUCCGUGCCAGCAGCCGCGGUAAUACGGAGGGUGCGAGCGUUAAUCGGAAUUACUGGGCGUAAAGCGCGCGUAGGCGGUCUGAUAAGCCGGUUGUGAAAGCCCCGGGCUCAACCUGGGAACGGCAUCCGGAACUGUCGGGCUAGAGUGCAGGAGAGGAAGGUAGAAUUCCCGGUGUAGCGGUGAAAUGCGUAGAGAUCGGGAGGAAUACCAGUGGCGAAGGCGGCCUUCUGGACUGACACUGACGCUGAGGUGCGAAAGCGUGGGUAGCAAACAGGAUUAGAUACCCGUGUAGUC
rnacentral:rRNA from 1 species